rnacentral:rRNA from 1 species
UGGGGAAUCUUGCGCAAUGGGCGAAAGCCUGACGCAGCCAUGCCGCGUGAAUGAUGAAGGUCUUAGGAUUGUAAAAUUCUUUCACCGGGGAAGAUAAUGACGGUACCCGGAGAAGAAGCCCCGGCUAACUUCGUGCCAGCAGCCGCGGUAAUACGAAGGGGGCUAGCGUUGCUCGGAAUUACUGGGCGUAAAGGGCGCGUAGGCGGACAGUUUAGUCAGAGGUGAAAGCCCAGGGCUCAACCUUGGAAUUGCCUUUGAUACUGGCUGUCUUGAGUUCGGGAGAGGUGAGUGGAAUGCCGAGUGUAGAGGUGAAAUUCGUAGAUAUUCGGCGGAACACCAGUGGCGAAGGCGACUCACUGGCCCGAUACUGACGCUGAGGCGCGAAAGCGUGGGGAGCAAACAGGAUUAGAUACCCCCGUAGUCC